GACAAGAAGAAUCCGAGUAUUGAACGCAGAUUUCUUCCCUCUAAUCAAUUCACUGUCCGAUUCUCACUCAAAUUUGGAAGAGAAGGUUUCUUUUUGUUCUAAAGAGAUGUCAAGUGGACCAGUAAGAAGAGUUUCACCCAGUGAUAUACAAUUGGUGCAAAAUCUUAUAGAACGAUGUCUACAACUAUACAUGAACCAGAAAGAAGUUGUAGAAACUUUGUUGGUGCAGGCAAAGAUAGAGCCUGGUUUUACAGAACUUGUUUGGCAGAAGCUUGAAGAAGAGAAUCAGGAUUUCUUCAGGGCUUAUUAUCUGAGAUUGAUGGUGAAAGACCAAAUAAUUAAAUUCAACAAGCUGCUUGAGCAACAGGUGCGGUUGAUGCAUCAGAUACAGCCUGCUGGAGUUGUGUCAAUGCCUACAUCUAAUGGGUCUCAUAUCCCACAAUUGCAUCACAACUCAGCAUUAUAUGCCACAGAACAGGCUGGACCAGCUCUGAAGGAGGAAAAUUUGCAGCACGGCAUUGGUUCCCGUUUACCUGAUGUAUUCAGUAAUGGUGGGUCUUCAUUACUUACAAAUAUGCACGACCCCAUUGAUAUGUCUUCCCAGGCGAGUAGGAUUGAUGUCCCCCAUAACCUGCUUCCAACUCAGAGCUCAAAUAUUAGUUUGAUUCAAGGUAUAAAUGGAGGGAUGAUAAAAACUGAAACUGGUUAUUAUGGCAGUUCUCCUUACAUGUUUGGUGCUGAGAGCCAUGUCCUGGAAGCUCGCCUACCAAUUGGGGAUACAUCAGUCGCAUCCUUCAGUAGUGUAGAGUCCAGCACAAGAUCCCUGAACGAAACACUUUUGGAUGCAGACUCUGCUUCAUUUGGAUAUUUACAUCAGAUUCCUCGAAAUUUCAGUCUCUCAGACCUGACAGCAGACUUCUCUCAAAGUGCAGAUAUUCUGGAAAGCUACCCUCGUUCACCCUUCCUUACGGCAUAUCCUGAAAACUUCUUGGAUUCGCAUGAAGGAGAGCACCAAGGAGACAAUAAAAGGUUGGACACUAUAUCAGAAGGCCUGAGCUAUGAAGAUUUUGGAAGCGAAUAGCCACAGAAGUAUUAACUAACCUGCCCUUUUUGUUUUAGGAUACUCAAUCUUAAUACAAAAGUUAAAUAAGGUCAUUAGAAGGCUUUGUAUAUACCAUUUUAAAGGUGGAGAAGCUUCAGAUUUAGGAGUGUACUUGAAGAAAGAUCUAUCGGUGUAUCAAAAAAGUUUCGCUUGCUGACGGAAUUCUUAAUAACGACAAUAAGGAAUGCUUUGGGGGAUGAAAGAAAGCUUAGUAAUAACUAAUAACACAAGGGAAUGGCUUUUUGUAGCCAUGGGAAUCCAUGAAGGUGAAUUCUUAGUUCUUACAAGGCUUUGUUUAAUAAUAAUAAUCUAUCGGCGU